CAGCCGCCGCGGUAAUACGUAGGGUGCGAGCGUUAAUCGGAAUUACUGGGCGUAAAGCGUGCGCAGGCGGUUGUGUAAGACAGGUGUGGAAUCCCCGGGCUUAACCUGGGAACUGCGCUUGUGACUGCACAGCUAGAGUAUGGCAGAGGGGGGUGGAAUUCCACGUGUAGCAGUGAAAUGCGUAGAGAUGUGGAGGAACACCGAUGGCGAAGGCAGCCCCCUGGGCCAAUACUGACGCUCAUGCACGAAAGCGUGGGGAGCAAACAGGAUUAGAUACCCCCGUAGUCCCUGUCUCUUAUAC
rnacentral:rRNA from 1 species